GACGAACGCUGGCGGCGUGCUUAACACAUGCAAGUCGAACGGAAAGGCCCCUUUGGGGGUACUCGAGUGGCGAACGGGUGAGUAACACGUGAGUAACCUGCCCUUGACUUCGGGAUAACUUCAGGAAACUGGGGCUAAUACCGGAUAGGAAUCCUUGCUGCAUGGUGGGGGUUGGAAAGCUUCGGCGGUUUUGGAUGGACUCGCGGCUUAUCAGCUUGUUGGUGGGGUAGUGGCUUACCAAGGCUUUGACGGGUAGCCGGCCUGAGAGGGCGACCGGCCACAUUGGGACUGAGAUACGGCCCAGACUCCUACGGGAGGCAGGAGGGGGGAAUAUUGGACAAUGGGCGGGAGCCCGAUGCAGCAACGCCGGGGGCGGGAUGACGGGCUUCGGGUUGUAAACCGCUUUCAGCAGGGGCGAAGCUUGUGGUGACGGUACCUGCAGAAGAAGCACCGGCUAACUACGUG
rnacentral:rRNA from 1 species